GCAGCUGUUUAGUCAGAGAAGAAGGGGCAUGAGGACGGGAUGAGAUGGGAUGACAGCAUUCAUUGUAGGACUAGCCUAUGCUAAAGCUCAGAGAAACAACAGCAGGAUUUGGCAUCUUUAGAGAACUGAAAGCAUUAAGAGAGGCUGAAGCGUGGCAUGCAAGCAAGAUGAGCAGUGGGAGACUCAGGGAUUUUUAACAGCAGCGACAAAACCUCAAGAGAAGGGUCCCUGAUAGGGAACAAUCUUGUGAUCACAUCCUUAAAUACCGAGAAAUGAGACCCUUCACAACGUGUUAAGAAAUCGUCCAGUCCUGCAUGCUGCUAGGAUCUCUAACCACUCACCACUUGUAUUCCUGGGGUGGACGUGAGCUCGCGCUAAACUAAGGACACCAGCCGAGCAUUCAGCGCGGUUCCCUACGCCCUCCAGGAAUUUUGGAAAGCUAUCCAAGCUCGGCGCUAUCUUUAAAAGGAAUGAGUUGUGGCUCCUAACUAGCUUGCCGAGGAGAGCGUAGAGUGACACGGGACGGGGGCCCAGGGCACUGAGGCCAAGAGUUCCCGAGUCACGCCAGUGCUCGCCCCUUUGGCCUUUGCCUAAAAUCCUGCGAUGCCUCGCUGACAAAGCACCCAGUGCCAGAGCCUGCGGCCCAGCGAAGCUGCUCCCUGGAAACACACACACACACACACACACACACACACACACACACACACACACACACAAAAGGGGGUGGGGAGAGGGAAAGGUUUAGGUUUAGGAGAGGAAGCCAGCCAGCCAGCCCUGCAGAUGCAACCGUUGCAAUUUGGGUCUCUUCUGUCUUCUGACGUAAUGCCAGUUUCCUGCUUUCGCGCUGCAGUGUGCAGUUCGCUGCUGGGAAGUCAGAUCAAUCGAUUGAACGCCAAGAUCAUCACUGCCACUAUCUUGCGAUUUAUUUUCCACGAAUACACUUUAAUUGGCCCGAGCCCCGCCCCCAAAUUCCACGACUUUUGGCUUUUCAGGAAGCAUUGUUCUCCCCUCCCCCCAGGAAGGCCGCCUCUACGCACAGCCAGCAUCAGGAAACGGCGCCGCUCGGGGCUCCGAUGGAGAGCCGGGGUGGGGUCGGCUCAAACCUUCUGCCCCCCGCUCUUUUGAGAUUCCUGAUCCCUGGCUUUGUCUUAAGCAAAAGUACUGUAGAAGCUGCAGCGUUUCCUCCCCCUUUCCAGAAACCGAGCGAGGACGUGGGGGAAAAGCCACCCUGGAACGUGUAAGGACGCUCCCCCACGCCCAACACGCCACAGGGCCGGGAUGCGCGGCUGCCGCCCCGCCACCUCACGCGCGCAGCGCUAACUGCAGCUCCGCAGCCACCGCCGUCGCCGCCGCCCUGCCGAGCCCGGGGAGACUCCCAAGGGCUCUUUAAAUACGAGCUAUAAAUACUACAGGCGCUCGGCGCGUGCGUCACGACACAUCCGGCUCCCGAUUGGGCGGCGUAACCUCGCUUAUUUGCAUAGGCCGAUUGCACAACCGGGCGGCGACCUCAGCCCGGUGCUCGUGCCACGCCUUCCCCACUUCUGCGGGCACGCGGGGCCGCGGGCGGGACAGCGGGGUGGCGAUUGCGGCGUCCAGAGUCCCUUGAACUCGGGAACCUUUCAAGUCCUGAGUCAGGCGGCGGUCCUCCGGGACGCCAGUGCCUCUCAGAAGGCUCAGUUUUGGCCAGCCAAGGGCUUACCGUUUAAACUGGGUCUUUUUUAUUUCUACAGAAAAGGAUAGUUUUCAGAGUGACACCCCAGCAAACGCUCUGGGUGGCUCGCAGAGGCUGAGUUUAAACCACGUGAGACCUGGCCGCGGCGAGAGUCCUGUCCAAUGACUUGCGACUUGGGGUGUUCAAAAAGGGCUUUUCGCAUGAUCUCUAAUAAGACCUCGUUAUCUUGAAAACGAAACAGGGAGGGUUCGAAAACGCAAGAUGUGUAAUGCCUUGUGGUUUAAACCUAGUUUUUAAAAAAUGCACCAAUGAGCCAAUAUGAAACAGCGACAUGGAGACUUUCCCCCAUUGCGGCUCUGGGGGUAGAGAAUCUCUUGUAGCAAUGGAAAAUGUUCAGCUCCUUGAUCCAGACCCGAGUGGAUUCUCUCCAGGGAGCGGGUGGGUGGCGAAGGUCAGAGAGAGGGGAAAAAAGACCACGCUUUGGAAUUAGGGAAGCAACCCAGUGUUGUGGGUGUAGAGGCACCGAGGAUUCUGUUGCAGGGGGUGCCAGUGAUUGCCCUGUAUAAAUACGUAGAUACUAUUAUAUAUUAAUAUUAGGUUGUUACAAAAUCGUCUGUGUCUUCAGGAUGCAAACUGAGAAUAGUAGCUGUUUCUGCUAUUUGCUCCAAACACCGCUAUAUUAUAGUGAACUCUUUACUUUUGAGUGGGAUUAAAUACAGUGACUUUUAAUGCCUUCGCUUUGCUUUACAAUGUUCUUCCCUUAAAAUGCUCGUGUCAUAUUCUAAAGUUCUAAGCCUUCCUGUAGCGAUACGGGGAUGACUGCUUAAGUAUAUAUGUUGGUGUCUUACACAGUGGGUCCUCAGCAAAUAUUAGUGGAAUGAAUCAGACAUAAACAUUUAUUCAGAAGAGUUAACUAAGCAUGUACUAAUAACAAAGACCUUAUUAAAUUAUAUUUCAUAAUUGUUCUACUUUGACAUCCCCCCCACCGCCCCGAAUAAAACUUAAAGCUCAGACGGACUCUUGUUAUUUGAAGACAAUACUUUCAACUACUGCUGAAGGUUGGAUGUGUAGCGAAUAUGCUGUCCUAACAGCUUUUUAAAAAGAACUGCGGAUUUUAACAGAAGAGCUCCCCCUGCUGUCAAAUGGUUUAUGGGCAACGCGCCUGGAACGUCUAGAACACCUGGCAUGGGCCCACUGCAAAGCUGGAAAGCUGACCUUCAAGAUAGUUUUCACUGAGACUCAUCUCUUAAAGUUACUUUUAAUCAUUUAUUGACAAGCAAGUGUGAUCAUUCAGUAGGGAAUACUACCUGAAAUAUCUUUCUCAUAUCCAUAGCAAUCGAAACCGGUUUAAAACCAAUCUUGAUGAUAUUAAAGUAAAACAUGGAUUUGUUUCACAGUCAUUAUUCUCUGCGUUAAUAUACACCAAUGUAACAAAAAAAGUUUUAGUCAUCAAAAUAGUUUUCCCAACAAUUUUAGUACUGUACAGGUUGAAUCAUCAAGAUGAACUGAUGUGAAUGCACACUACUUACACCAGUCUUACACCAGUCUUUCCCUUCUCAGCUUGUUUCCCUGUGCCUUCAUUACUGUUUCUAGUAUUCCAGACCAAGAAUAAGUACGCUUAUAACCACUGCCUUCUUGGUAAUAGUCUUAUUUUUCUUUUUCCUUAAGUGUUUUAAAUGUGACAUUCCUUUUUACUAAUUUGUUUCUUUGUCGUCCUUAUUAAUAUGCCAAGAUGAAAACAUAUUUUUAAAAAGUC
rnacentral:lncRNA from 1 species